ensembl:lncRNA
AAAAGGACUUGGGAGCAAGUCAAAGUCAAGCACAAAAACAUAAUUCAGGCUGCAAACAAGAAAAGGGCUGACAUGAUGAAGACGGGAGGAGGACCCAGAGGUCCAGAGUUAACCCCUGCUGAGGAGCUGGCCCUGGCCAAUAACAGGGGUAGGCCCAUUAUGCAGGGCAUAGCUGGGGGCAGCUCCUCUGGAGAGGUGGUGGCAGGAGAGAAUCCCUAUGUCCAAGUAGUAGAAGGUUCACUCACACUCCUGCAGCCACCUACCAAUGUGUUGGGAGAGGAGCCCACUGCUGAUGAGGUCGGUCUAGACGAUGAGGACACACUUUCCGCCUUCUCAAGCGAUUUGGCAAAUCCUGCUGGACCACGGCCUGAUCCGCCGGAGCCUGGCCCCUCUCGCUCUUCGGGAACUGGGGAUGGGGACACUGACAAUGAAGAUGUGCGUACGCUUUAUAAGCGCUACUUGCGUGCGAAAAUUCAUAACCUCCACUUGAGCUCAGCGAAGCUUGAUGUGGAGGUUAAAUUGCUUAAACAGCAGCUG